rnacentral:lncRNA from 1 species
AGCCCACGUGCCCAGUGACCGCAGAUGCCCCCGCGCUCUCCGGUGCUUUCCUUCGCCCCAGGGUUCCCGUGGGAAGCUGGAGGAGGGGGUCACCAACCCAAAAAGCCUCCCCCAGGGCAGAGCUUGGCAGCUGUGGAGCAGCAGGCAGGAGGGUGGAGGGGCGCGGGGGGGCUGGCUGAGCCCUGGCACCCCCAGGGUAGGGGCAGGGGGGUUGGGGCUGUGCCCAAAAAACCCAGCGGGUGCUGCCCGGGGGACGUGGAGCUGCAGGGAGCAGCGGGGCCGGGCGGGAUGGGAAGAUUUGUAAAAGGGUCCUGGGCGCCUGGACAACAGCAAACUGGGUGAACUGGGCUGUGAGCACGUCCAGAGGAGCAAACAAACUGGGUGAACUGGGCUGGGUGCAUGCCCAGAGGCGCAAACCGGACGGGGCUGCGUGCCCAGGGGCUGCGGGCAGGGGGGCGCGGAGCCACCCCUAAAGCAGCAGGGGGUGCCCGAGUGGGGGUCACCCAGCCUGGCCUGCCCCCCGUUUUGCCUCCCCACCCCGUACAGGGAGCUUUUUGCGCCCUGGCCGGGGGCUGGGGGUGGCCCCCAGCUCUGCGCUCUCCUCCCGUGCUUCCUGCGGCAGCGCUCGGGGCCCUCCUCAAUGGCCGGAAAGCGCUACCUCAUCCCUUGACGGGGAGCCAGGGAAGCAAACACAGGCGUAGCCCCCCUCCGCCCCUCUCUUCCCCUCCUCUUCCCCUCCCUCCAGCAGCUUCCCGGCUCCGGGUGGGGCUGGGACCCCCCCCUGGCACUGGGGGCACAGCCGGGACCCCUGCGCCCCCGCAGCUCCGGCACCGGGGUCCCCCGGAGAGGUGCCCUUGUGCAAGAGCGCACACCUGUGUGAGUGUGUGUGUGUGUGUGUGUGUGUGCAGGACAGACAGACAGACAGACAGACAGCACGCCGGGGCACCCCAAUACCCCAGGACCCCUGGGGACAGCCAGCGGGGUGAGACCCCUGAUGGGCAGCCCUCCGAGCGGUGCGCAAUGCGCAGGGACUGCCACCAACGCAGGGACUGCCACCAACGCCAGCACCCCCAGGCACAGCUCGCCCAGCCCUGCUCACCCUCACCCCCCCGGGCAGCCCCCCCAAAUAUUCGACACCCUUUUGGCAAUGCCAGGCUGGUGGCACGCAGAGGUGGCACGCUGCCUGGCAGCUCUCGGGGCCAGGGGACACGGCUCCGUGCCCCGGCCAAAACCCUAAAUUGGAGAGCAGGGAGCGGGGACAGCCACGGGGCUGGGGGAAAUGGGGCUG